UUGAACGCUGGCGGCAGGCCUAACACAUGCAAGUCGAGCGGUAGAGAGGUGCUUGCACCUCUUGAGAGCGGCGGACGGGUGAGUAAUGCCUAGGAAUCUGCCUGGUAGUGGGGGAUAACGCUCGGAAACGGACGCUAAUACCGCAUACGUCCUACGGGAGAAAGCAGGGGACCUUCGGGCCUUGCGCUAUCAGAUGAGCCUAGGUCGGAUUAGCUAGUUGGUGGGGUAAUGGCUCACCAAGGCGACGAUCCGUAACUGGUCUGAGAGGAUGAUCAGUCACACUGGAACUGAGACACGGUCCAGACUCCUACGGGAGGCAGCAGUGGGGAAUAUUGGACAAUGGGCGAAAGCCUGAUCCAGCCAUGCCGCGUGUGUGAAGAAGGUCUUCGGAUUGUAAAGCACUUUAAGUUGGGAGGAAGGGCAUUAACCUAAUACGUUAGUGUUUUGACGUUACCGACAGAAUAAGCACCGGCUAACUCUGUGCCAGCAGCCGCGGUAAUACAGAGGGUGCAAGCGUUAAUCGGAAUUACUGGGCGUAAAGCGCGCGUAGGUGGUUCGUUAAGUUGGAUGUGAAAGCCCCGGGCUCAACCUGGGAACUGCAUUCAAAACUGUCGAGCUAGAGUAUGGUAGA
rnacentral:rRNA from 1 species